UUGUAUUCUGCACACCGACGAAUAAUAUACGGUGUGGAAAGAAGACAUCAACGUUGAAAAUUCAGAUAUUUAAAGCGUUGCUCUUGAACAUCAUUUUAUCGAUUUUGCUACCGAAAUCACUGAGCUACUACGAGGGAGCUACUACUGUUCAAGAAAAUCAAGAUGAACUCUGCAAUACCACUUCUAGCUGUACUGUUAGUGACAAUGGUCACGCAAACCAUUCUGGCACAUCCUGCUAAAAGUGAUGAUUUUGAGUACACUUCUGACGACUGCCCUCCAGGAGUCUGGGUUUGUCGCAAAAAACGUGCUGAAAUCCCCAUUAAAGCCGAGUCAGCCAGAAGUCCUGGCUCAUCGGCAAAGUAUCUACAUGAAACAUGAGAAUUUAGAAAAACUAUUUAAACGUUUAAAUGAUUUUGCUCUGAGAUCAAGUAAAAUUUGAUCGUAACAGCGUAAUCGAUAAUUCAAUUCAACCUUUUAAGCUUGAAUUAAAAUUUGUCUACUGUAUGAGUAACGAAGAAAAGUAACCACUAUCAUAUAGCUGCUAGUGUUUGUUUAAAUAAAAGUUUAAUUAAAAGUUUAAAUAAAGAAUGGACGA